AUUGAACGCUGGCGGCAGGCCUAACACAUGCAAGUCGAGCGGAUGAAGGGAGCUUGCUCCUGGAUUCAGCGGCGGACGGGUGAGUAAUGCCUAGGAAUCUGCCUGGUAGUGGGGGAUAACGUCCGGAAACGGGCGCUAAUACCGCAUACGUCCUGAGGGAGAAAGUGGGGGAUCUUCGGACCUCACGCUAUCAGAUGAGCCUAGGUCGGAUUAGCUAGUUGGUGGGGUAAAGGCCUACCAAGGCGACGAUCCGUAACUGGUCUGAGAGGAUGAUCAGUCACACUGGAGCUGAGACGCGGUCCAGACGCCUACGGGAGGCAGCAGUGGGGAAUAUUGGACAAUAGGCGAGAGCCUGAUCCAACCAUGCCGCGUGUGUGAAGAAGGUCUUCGGAUUGUAAAGCACUUUAAGUUGGGAGGAAGGGCAGUAAGUUAAUACCUUGCUGUUUUGACGUUACCAACAGAAUAAGCACCGGCUAACUUCGUG
rnacentral:rRNA from 1 species